CUGCUUCAUCUUCCUGACUGGUCAGAGAGAUUCUGGACAGACUGAAGUGAAAGAAGCAGUUCUCUGACUUUUCUCUAUCAGGAUGAAAUACACAAUAAAGAUCCAACAUCACCUGCUCUUCGUCUUCUUAUCAGCUCUAUGUGGUGGGAACACUGGGCUGGUCAGUGCAAAGCUCACAAUUUACACAGGAGCUGAAGGAGGAAAUGGUACAAUUAACUGCUACUUGAAUCUGCCUGGAAGCACGAAGUUCUUCUGUAGGAAUCAAUGUAAAGAAGAAGACAUCCUAGUUAAAACAGAUGGUGUGACAGCUAACAAUGGUAGAUACAGUGUUAAAUAUAGCGAUGGAUCAUCUGGAAGAGGAAUUCUGUCUGUGACCAUCACAAAUCUGAUCAAGUCUGACUCCGGACCGUACAGAUGUGGUCUGGGCAAAUCUUCAACUCCAGAUUCAUAUUCUGACUUUGAGAUCAGAGUUUCAGAUGAUCUCUUGGAUAAAAAUGCUGGUUUUAUCAGUACAUAUGUUGAAGGAGACACUUUGAGAAGUCCAUGCUUUGUUGAAGCGAAAAGAAGCAGAUUCUUUUUCUGUAAAGACGAAUGUAAUAAAGAGGAAGACGUUCUCAUUGAAACCGAUCAGAAGAACUCUCAGAGAGGCAGAUACGGCAUUGAAUACAUUGAUGGAUCUGUAUUUGGACUCUAUGUGACCAUCCAGCAGGUGACCAAGUCGGACGCUGGAUGGUACAAGUGUGGUUAUGGCAGAGCUUUGUCUCCAGAUUCAUCAUCUAUGUGGUUUUCUGUCAUUGUCAUUGAUGCUUCAACAACAUCCAAACCAACUCAGACUGUUCCAUCUUCUUCAACAUCAGUCCCAUCAACCUCCACAUUUUCAUCAGUUUUCAUUAAAACCACUGACCAGCGAACAGCUACAGGCUCCAUCCUGCCUCUGGUUGUGUGUGUCCCCUUGGUUGGUGUAUCACUGAUGGUUGUUCUGCUGCUCCUCUACAAAUGGAAGAAAAGGAGAAACUUAGAUGAAAUCACCAGGAGAAGCACAGAUGGAACAAAGACAGAGAUGUCUGUCACCUAUGAAAAGGCUCCACUCAACAGAGGUGAAGAACCAGAAAUUUGUUCCAACACUGAAUUAACAAGGGCAGAAAACUAAUGGUGAUGUGCAGAAUUGAAUCUAGACUUUAAGCUGCAGCUUACAGGUUCUUUUUUGUCACCUUAUCUUCUGAUGAUACAGAACUGUCCAUGUUUCUGAAGGUUCAGCAUCCUCUGAAGUGUCCAGUCCGUCUACUGUAUGUUUAACAACUAGUGGUGUAUCUAGAUGAUUUACUAUUGUCUGCCAGGAUUUUUUCAGCUUUAUUUAGUUAUUCUGGAUCAGUUUUUAUGUUUUGAUGUAUGUUGGGCCCUCGUGUUCUCUGCCUCUAAAUCGUCAGCUCUUCUCCAUCUCCACCUGACCAACACACUCACACCUGGUCUCACUCACCUUGAUUAGCUCUGCUCUCCUUUCAGCCAUUCACACCUGUCUUCGUUAGGUAAUUAGGUCAUUAGUGUUUAGUUCUGCUCACCUUCACUCUCUCUGGACCAGUUUGUCUUUUGUGUUUAGCUGAAGUCACUGUUUUCCAGUUGAAUCUCAUUACCUGAUUAAAACAUUUACAUGUUUUGGACUUGUUGUCACGUCCUCUUUUACGUUUGUCUGGAGUUUCUUUGUUUCUAAUGUUCAUGAAGUCAGACUAGAUUUGAAAGCGGCCUCCUGUAUUUUUCAGUGUGAAUCUGUCCAGUGUUCUCUUUUCUUCCUGCUGUGUUUUGCACUUGGGUUCCUGUUUUCUUCCUGGUCAUUUGGUUUCAUAUAUUCCAGUUGUUUUUCCAUUAUCCUCUCAGACUGAUGCAAUAAUGAGGUUUCAACCAGCAGAUGUCCCUGUUUUUUACUGUAUCAAAUUCUUAAAACCUGUUUUGUGGUCUACCUCAGUUCCUGGGUUCAGUCUUUACCUGUUAUUUAGUGCUGUUGUGUUGUCUUUAUUUUCUGUACUUACAGUUGGUUACUGUUAUGUUGAAAUCUGCUGUGGAUGUGGUUUUUGUCAGUGGCUGAUGGGUUGUCACAGCUUUUUAUAAGAUGUUGUGUGUCUGUUGGUUUAUGUGGUUAUCAGCUUGUAAAAUAAGUUCUAAUUCAUCUGCAGUCAAUACUUCUACUGUAGUGUUGAGAUGAAUAAAUACUGCUGACAUCAGAACUGCUUUGUUCUGG
rnacentral:lncRNA from 1 species